GUGUUCAUAGUUUAAACAAGACGUUAGAUUGUGAUUCUAGAAAUAAAGGUUAAAACCCUUUUGAUCACC
rnacentral:tRNA from 1 species